GACGGGGGGGGCAAGUGUUCUUCGGAAUGACUGGGCGUAAAGGGCACGUAGGCGGUGAAUCGGGUUGAAAGUGAAAGUCGCCAAAAAGUGGCGGAAUGCUCUCGAAACCAAUUCACUUGAGUGAGACAGAGGAGAGUGGAAUUUCGUGUGUAGGGGUGAAAUCCGUAAAUAUACGAAGGAACGCCAAAAGCGAAGGCAGCUCUCUGGGUCCCUACCGACGCUGGGGUGCGAAAGCAGGGGGAGCGAACAGG
rnacentral:rRNA from 1 species